rnacentral:rRNA from 1 species
AGGACGAACGCUGGCGGCGUGCUUAACACAUGCAAGUCGAGCGGUGAUCCUCCUUCGGGAGGUGAUCAGCGGCGAACGGGUGAGUAACACGUGGGCAACCUGCCCCUCACACUGGGAUAACCUCGGGAAAACCGGGGCUAAUACCGGAUACGACCUCGAGCGGCAUCUCUUGAGGUGGAAAGCUCCGACGGUGAGGGAUGGGCCCGCGGCCUAUCAGCUUGUUGGUGGGGUAAUGGCCUACCAAGGCGACGACGGGUA